CGUAGGGUGCAAGCGUUAAUCGGAAUUACUGGGCGUAAAGCGUGCGCAGGCGGUUAUGUAAGACAGUUGUGAAAUCCCCGGGCUCAACCUGGGAACUGCAUCUGUGACUGCAUAGCUAGAGUACGGUAGAGGGGGAUGGAAUUCCGCGUGUAGCAGUGAAAUGCGUAGAUAUGCGGAGGAACACCGAUGGCAAAGGCAAUCCCCUGGACCUGUACUGACGCUCAUGCACGAAAGCGUGGGGAGCAAACAGGAUUAGAUACCCUGGUGGUCCACGCCCUAAACGAUGUCAACUGGUUGUUGGGUCUUCACUGACUCAGUAACGAAGCUAACGCGUGAAGUUGACCGCCUGGGGAGUACGGCCGCAAGGUUG
rnacentral:rRNA from 1 species